rnacentral:rRNA from 1 species
CCUACGGGUGGCAGCAGUGGGGGAUAUUGCACAAUGGGGGGAACCCUGAUGCAGCGACGCCGCGUGGGUGAAGGAGCGUUUCGGCGCGUAAAACCCUAUCGGCAGGGAAGAAGAUGACGGUACCUGGCCAAGAAGCCCCGGCUAACUACGUGCCAGCAGCCGCGGGAAUACGUAGGGGGCAAGGGUUAUCCGGAUUUACUGGGGGUAAAGGGGGCGCAGACGGGAAAGCAAGCCAGGAGUGGAAGCCCGGGGCCCAACCCCGGGACUGCUGUUGGAACUGCAUGGCGGGAGUACAGGAGGGGCAGGCGGAAUGCCUAGUGUAGCGGUGAAAUGCGUAGAUAUUAGGAGGAACCCCGGUGGCGAAGGCGGCCUGCUGGACUGUGACUGACGUUGAGGCCCGAAGGCGUGGGGAGCAAACAGGAUUAGAUACCCGAGUAGUC